rnacentral:rRNA from 1 species
GUGUCAGCCGCCGCGGUAAAACGUAGGAGGCGAACGUUAUCAGGAUUUACUGGGCGUAAAGAGCGCGAAGGCGGUCUUGCAAGUCGGGCGUGAAAUCUCCCGGCUCAACUGGGAGGGGUCGUUCGAUACUGCAGGACUUGAGGACGGGAGAGGGGAGUGGAAUUCCCGGUGUAGCGGUGGAAUGCGCAGAGGUCGGGAGGAACACCAGUGGCGAAGGCGGCUCCCUGGCCCGGUCCUGACGCUCAAGCGCGAAAGCGUGGGGAGCGAACGGGAUUAGAUACCCCGGUAGUCCACGCCGUAAACGAUGGGUGCUAGGUGUUGGUGGUGUCGAUCCCAUCAGUGCCGAAGCUAACGCGAUAAGCACCCCGCCUGGGGACUACGGCCGCAAGGCUAAAACUCAAAGGAAUUGACGGGG